GCUGGGUGAGGUGGAGCACACCUGUAAUUCCAGCAACUCAGGAGGCUGAGGCAGGAGGAUUGCAAGUUCAAGGCCAGCCUCAGCAACCUAUCGAAGCCCUAAGCAAUUCAGUGAGACCCUGUCUCUA
rnacentral:sRNA from 1 species